rnacentral:rRNA from 1 species
AGCAGUCGCCACGGUAAUGCGGAGGGUGCAAGCGUUAAUCGGAAUUACUGGGCGUAAAGCGCACGCAGGCGGUUUGAUUAGUCAGAUGUGAAAUCCCCGGGCUCAACCUGGGAACUGCAUUUGUGACUGGCAAGCUAGAGUGUGGCAGAGGGGGGUGGAAUUCCGCGUGCAGCAGUGAAAUGCGUAGAUAUGCGGAGGAACACCGAUGGCGAAGGCAGCCCCCUGGGCCAACACUGACGCUCAUGCACGAAAGCGUGGGGAGCAAACAGGAUUAGAUACCCCUGUAGUCCCUGUCUCUUAUAC